GCUGGGCUUAGUGGUGCAAGCCUGUAAUCCCAGUAGCUCAGGAGGCUGAGGCAGGAGGAUCAUAAGUUCAAAGCCAGCCUCAGCAACUUAGCAAAACCCUGUCUCAA
rnacentral:sRNA from 1 species